rnacentral:rRNA from 1 species
AUUGAACGCUGGCGGCAGGCUUAACACAUGCAAGUCGAGCGGGGUGAUGGUGCUUGCACUAUCACUUAGCGGCGGACGGGUGAGUAAUGCUUAGGAAUCUGCCUAUUAGUGGGGGACAACAUCUCGAAAGGGAUGCUAAUACCGCAUACGUCCUACGGGAGAAAGCAGGGGAUCACUUGUGACCUUGCGCUAAUAGAUGAGCCUAAGUCGGAUUAGCUAGUUGGUGGGGUAAAGGCCUACCAAGGCGACGAUCUGUAGCGGGUCUGAGAGGAUGAUCCGACACACUGGGACUGAGACACGGCCCAGAAUCCAACGGGAGGCAGCAGUGGGGAAUAUUGGACAAUGGGGGGAACCCUGAUCCAGCCAUGCCGCGUGUGUGAAGAAGGCCUUAUGGUUGUAAAGCACUUUAAGCGAGGAGGAGGCUCUUUUGGUUAAUACCCAAGAUGAGUGGACGUUACUCGCAGAAUAAGCACCGGCUAACUCUGUGCCAGCCGCCGCAGUAA